GGGAUAAGUCUCGGCUGCUGUUGAGACGAAUACGCAAGUCUGCAGUCCUAAUACACAUCCACACAAUCCACAUGUGAACAGAGGAUGACCUGAAGAGAAGAGGCUGCAGAGGGAAGUGUUCAUUUGGCUGAAACGGCGCGCAGGACAGCAGACCUUUAGCCUCUCCUCUCCAGCCUGCAAAAGAUCCAGCGGCUGUUUGUCUCCAAUCGCGAGCAGCAGUGGUUACAAGCCUACACCUCCCAUCAUCCAGGGUAUCCAUCAAUAGCUAAACUUCAGCCACUACAAACAGCAGUGAACAGUACAGCACUCCACCUGGCGUCGCAGGUAGCUCCACACAGCCACCUCUCCCAGCCUACAGCAUUUCCAACCCAACGAGAACAGACGGUGCGGGGAGCGAUUUACUGGAUUGGAUCCCACCCAGCAGUGCCUUAUACGCUCAACCUAUAUGUCACAGAUGGAUCUGAACAUCCGCAGAGAGCUGGAGGGGAGCAGGGCCGCAGAAAUCCUCAGACUACCUUGAACCGGUACAGUGAAAGUAAUGCUAUGGAACAUUUUCACCCAGGACCUCCACAAACUUUCAAUAUAUGCAGUAUAACUACUCAACAUAUCGCCAGCUUUACAUUUGUUGUUCAUGUUGUGCUUUCAAUUGCUUUUAAAUAAAUUGGAACCGGACUGUUAGCAUUAGUAGCUUUAGCAACGAGGUCUAAACAGAAGAAAGGAACAAAACUACCACCUACAGCAAAUACAACAGAAAAAUCCAUGGAAACUCACUGUUGACUCACUGUUUGCUUGCCAACGGAUCUCUGGGUAGAUUAAGACCAAAACCACAACAGUAAUAAUCAGGUUGCGUCAAAGAUGUCACCAAAAUGAAAAACAAAACCUUGAUGAUUAUUCCUGUAAGAUGAAGUUACAGACAGUGGGAUAUCUUCAGAAAGAUCAGAGUCAUCUGCUUUUACUAGAUAUUAAACACACUACCUCUGCACCAAAUGCAUGCAAAUCCAAAAUGCUUUUUCUCAAGUAUAAAUCUGAGGAUUGCCUUCCAUUAAGUCUUAUAAGUGUAUGAAUAUGUUUAUCAUAAAGCCCAUUGCUGAACUACUUGUGCAAUUGACAUGUUCUGUACCUUUCACAUCUGCUAAAGUAUCUGUGUGUGGCUUUGAAAAAUAAUAUAAGAUAAUCAGCAUCAUAUUAAUAAAGAUCUUAAU